GACGUAGGGCGCAAGCGUUGUCCGGAUUUAUUGGGCGUAAAGAGCUCGUAGGCGGCUUGUUGCGUCGUCCGUGAAAACCCGUGGCUCAACUGCGGGCUUGCGGUCGAUACGGGCAGGCUGGAGUUCGGUAGGGGAGACUGGAAUUCCUGGUGUAGCGGUGAAAUGCGCAGAUAUCAGGAGGAACACCGGUGGCGAAGGCGGGUCUCUGGGCCGAUACUGACGCUGAGGAGCGAAAGCGUGGGGAGCGAACAGG
rnacentral:rRNA from 1 species